GGAGGAGUGCCGCAGUGGUUAACCGGACACGAUUGGAAAUCGUGCGGGCGCAAGCCCACGAGGGUUCGAAUCCCUCCUCCUCCG
rnacentral:tRNA from 1 species